UCUAAGAACACGAAGAACAGUAAAGAAAAUGAAUAACUGACUCAACGAGAAUUAAAAGGAAAUAUAACCUUUGAUUGGAGCCAAGCUCUGAUACCAACUGAUGUGAACCCGCGUAGGCAAACGUUACGGAUCCCACGAACAAGAUGAAAAUCUUCCCAAGAAAGUCAAAGCAAGGUUUUGAAUUCGAAUUCAAUAAAUUUGGAAUCAAGCAACUCGAAUCGCCGACGAUGUGCGGACCUCUUGAUUACGCAAAGUUAUAGAAUCUCACCCAAUUGAUUUGAACGUCACAAGAAUUAGAUUUUGAUAAGUUCGAAAGUUGUUCAAUUGGAAGAACAAAGAGAAAGUAAUUAAAACCUUUCAAUUAAUCAAUAUGUCAAAGAUUCAUUUACAAUGAUGAAAUAAACUUCUAUUUUAUACUAAAUCCUAGAGUAGAAGUCAAAAAGGAAUAAAAUACUAAUAAUCUAGUAGAAUCUCAAAAAUAACCAUCCAAUAUCAUAAGAAUUUGACUCGGAACAAAAUUCCGACAAAAUAUGUAAAAAACGCGGAAAAAGAAAAUUUUGUUCCCUGAAAUAACACUAUGCGACCGCAUAGUGUAAAUCUAUGCGAUCGCAUAGUUCACUUGAACUAUGAUCGCAUUGGCCUUACCACACCCUAUGCGACUGCAAACCCCAUUUUACUAUUCGGUUGCAUGAUAGACCAAUUUGCUUCCGUUUUCGUCGACUUGUAUUAAGUUGAUCCAAUUUGAUUCGGCUCUUGACCCGAAUAUGAAAGUUGCCUCAUUUUGGAUCCCGAACAUCGUUCCAUCAAUGGUUUCUUGAACAAGCAAUCAUAUCGCCUCUUUUACUAGCUUCGUCCUUGCUCGAGUCAUCGGACCUCCCUCAACUAUCAACGAAUCUUUCUUCGACCUUGAUGUUGAACUUGACAUUGAUGCUUGCGACUCUUGGAUCCCAUCAUCGUUUGUGAUUGUUGCAUAAGUAAUUUCACAAUUAUAUCUUGGAAGUGAUUUUUUAAAUAAGUCACGACACUUAACUAUGGACAAUUUCACUUUAGGAUAUCGUGCUAUCACAAAUCUCGAUCAUUCGAUAAGCCUUCACACUUUCUGCAUUUUAGUAUUUGGGAAAGGUACUUGUAGCUAAUUUUAUCCUACAUUUUACCAUUUUGCCCUUUUUAAAUUAAUGAAAAGGUGAUCAAAAUUUGCUUUGAUGGUCAACUGACGACAUUUUUCACGAAAAUCAUUCAAAAUGACCUCACAUACAAUAUUUGGAAAGAUUAGAGGUAACGGUUGAAACAAAUAAAAGGUUUGGAAAAAGUUUGUUAAUAUUUCAAAGGUUUAAAACUUUUGCUGUAAUUAUCCCUAAAUUCAAUGGCUAAUGAAUCUAUUGAUAAUAGGUCGAUGAAUAAAUCGUGAUAUGGCACAAAUUUCGAUGACCAAUGUAACAUUUAACUCAACAUUUCCAAUUAAAAGAAGUAUUUUAUAAAAUUAAGGGAUAAUUGCAACCGAGACCCCAAACCAUUCCAAAAGUUACAGACUUUUUCCUAACAUUUCAUUUAUUGCAAUCGUCACUCCAAACCUUUCAAAACAUUGCAAAUCAAGCCCCAAUGGAUGGAUUCCAUCCAUAUUUCUGUUAGUUGACACAAAAAUUGGAUUUUAACCACAAUUCAAUAAAUUUUGAAAGGACAAAAUGGUAAAUUUAUAAUUUCUACAUUAGAAACUUAAAUUAAAAACAACAAAACAAAAGAAAAUAAAAUGAAAAGGAAAAAAAGUAUCUUCUUCUCCCUCACCCCCACGCCAAACAUAACAUCUACUGUCACCACCAUCUCCUCCAAAAUCGACCGCACCCCAACAACAACCACCACUACCACAUCUAUCACCACAUCCCAAGCGAAAACCAAAAAACUUGAAUCAAUCCGUGAAACCACGCUCCUUUAUUGCACUUAACAUAUUACACAUCUAGGUUUUCAUAUCCGCCUCCCUUCACACGCACCAUUUUCUGUAGAAUUUACAUUAUAAAAAGACGGCCCAGGCUCGACUUCUCUCUCUACAAACCCUUCACUUUAUGCUGCUCCAACACUCUUCACUUGAUCUUUUUAUCACUAUUUUCCAAUUUCUGCUGAGCCCCUUUGAAAUUUUCCAAUGGGAAACCCAACAAACACAAUUACAAGGGUGACUAUAAUUAAACCUUAGAGAACCAACAGCCAAUAAUCCUCUUCAAAUAAGGAAUCCCAUAUUCUGUUCUUUCAUAUUUUUCUCUGUAAACUAAGCCAUAAAAAAAAAAACUUCUAUUUUCUAUGUAAGGGAGAAGAAGAUAUAUUUUCUCCUUUUUAUUUUAUUUUUCUUCUUUUUUGUUAUUUUUAAUUUAAGUUUUUAAUGUGAAAAAUAUAAAUUUAUCAUUUUGUCCUUUUAGAAUUGAUUAAAAUGUGGUCAAAAUUCAAUUUUUAGGUCAACUAACAAAAAUACGGACGAAAUCCAUCCGUUAAGACUUGAUCUGCAACAUUUUGAAAACUUUGAAAUAAUAAUUGCAACAAAUGAAAAGUCAGAAAAAAAUCUGCAACUUUUUGAAAGGUUUGAAAUCUCAAAUACAUUUAUCCCCAAAAUUAACCAAAUAGAUUCUAAAAUAAUUUUUGAAUUCCAAAAACUCAUUUUGACUUCACAAAAAAGCCAUACAUAUGGUCUUAAAAUAAUUUUUGUAAGGUUGUCUUAAAAUGUAGCAAUUUCAAUCUUCCAACCCCCUUCUUCACAACAUCAACAGUCCAAAUAUGCAAAUUUGAAUUGAAAUUUUGCUAGAUGAAAAUGUAGCCGAGUCCAACAUGCUAAUACAAGUUAAUUCUCUUGUUCUCUUGUUUGAGUUUUCAUCAUGCUAAUACAAGUUAAUUCUCUUGUUUGAGUGUUUUCUUUUUCCAGAGAAUUUGUACAAUGCCUUUAUGAACGUCAGAGAUGAUGAAGCAGAGCAUUGUAAGACAAUGUGAGCCUGUCAGACUCAUGGUAGCAUCCGAUCUCCCCACUCGUAUCAAGAAGAUGCACGGGAUGAUAUGAUUUGGUCGUGUAUCGUGCCUAAGGUAGACCGUGAAGGCAUUAUAGAUUAUAUAAAGAAAUCCGUUAAGGCCUCCGGCCAAAAGAAGGGGUGAUAUAUGAAGCAAAAAGAAUCAAUGAAAUUUUACUGUAGUUGAAUACAUUUUUACUAGAGGAAAAUCAAAUCUGCACCGGAAUAGUCAUUUAGAUCUUAGCCUCCAUUAGGAAAAAAAUUAUUAACUGGUUUUUUGACAAAUUAAGAUCAUACUUCUAUAAAAAAAAAAGGUGCUUAAACAGAAGAAUUCGGAAAGAAAUUUUGAUAUGCUUAUAUAAAAUACAAAUAAACAAAUAAAAAUGUAAAAAAUCAGAGAAGUGUGGACGAGCAACAAUCGAAUCGUCAAUCAGGAGAAAUGACGACUGAAACGAUAUCUCGCCAUCAUCUUUAUACCUUCUGUUCUUUGAUAUGACAAGACGAACUCAUUAUCGUCCCUCAUUUUUACGAAUAUCGAACAGAGGCGCAUAUCUGAAAUAAAAGCAAAUAUAUCAUCAAUCGGGAGAGGAAGUGUGAAUACCAGUCCCAGUGCCGGCGGGCAGUAUGUGUGGGGAGGAGGCGGAGAGGGACUGCAACGUCUGGGGAACCGAUGGGGGAAGGUGAAGGGAAGGGUGUCACUGGCGUAGUAAAUCAGCGCUUUGAAGUGAUUAGUACGCAAGUGUCACCUAUAGAGUCUAUAUAUAGACGGGGGCGGAUAGUUGGGUUACAAAACCCUAGAAAUCAAUUUAUUGACAUACCCUUUAACAAGAGUUAUCUCUUUUGAUCUUUCAGAACCCUUAACUAUCAAAUAUGGCACUUUAGCCCUCGUUUAACAUGUAAUUAGGUAAUUUCCUCUUUCG
rnacentral:lncRNA from 1 species